rnacentral:lncRNA from 1 species
CAUUGGCCAAGUCAAUCUUUUCUCAUCACUAGGCGUUCGUCGUCCGGCGUCUUUCGUCCGUCGUCCGUCAACUUUUACAAAAAUCUUCCCUGAUGAAACUUCUGAGCCAAAAUUUAAGCAAACUUGGCCACAAUCAACAUUGGGGUAUCUAGUUUAAGAAAUAUGUCCAAUGAUCCGAACAACCAACCAAGAUAACCGCCAUCGCUAAAAAUAGAACAAAUGGGGGAAUGGGCAAAAAUUUUGAUUUUGGCUUAUAUCUCUGAAUCCAAAUCAUUUAGAGCAAAUUUGACAAGAAACAAUUGGUUUUCAUGUCUAGAUCUAUCUGUCCUGAAAUUUCAGACGAU